rnacentral:snRNA from 1 species
CUAUGGAUAGGUCUGGCUGUGACAUCUGUCACCCUAUUGGUUGUUGAGAUCCAUCCUGAUCUGGCUGACAAGGUGGGUGCUUCUGCACUUCCCUCUAUUAUGGGCAUCCUUGCAGAAACCUUGUGCUCACACAAUAUCUUUUCCAGAGAGCUGUUCUUCUGUCAAGGUGUGCGAGCAGUUUCUCUCUGUUAAUGAUAAUCUCCGAACAGACCAUCCAGGUCUACUUUAUUAUACAUUCCACUGUAAGACAUAUAUUUGUG